UACGGGGGGGCAAGCGUUGUUCGGAAUUACUGGCGUAAAGGGCUCGUAGGUGGCCAACUAAGUCAGACGUGAAAUCCCUCGGCUUAACCAGGGAACUGCGUCUGAUACUGGAUGGCUUGAGUUUGGGAGAGGGACGCGGAAUUCCAGGUGUAGCGGUGAAAUGCGUAGAUAUCUGGAGGAACACCGGUGGCGAAGGCGGCGUCCUGGACCAACACUGACACUGAUGAGCGAAAGCCAGGGGAGCAAACGGG
rnacentral:rRNA from 1 species